UGAUGUUCCUCCUUUGCUUUGUUGUAUCGCUCAAUUAUAGAUCUCAUGCUAGCAAUAGAAGAUUUGAAUUGUAUCAGGGAUUCUGUAAUUUCUAAAUGCUUACACUAGAGAAGAAACACAGAGAGGACAUUCAAAAUCAUUGUACGUAGCUCCAGAAAGUAUAAUGAUAGCGUCUGUCAAUUUCACUAGUAUCUAAAAUUGUUGUAUCUGACAGUUGUGAUUAUAUUAUUCAAUGACAGCUUCCUUCUAGAAAGAUAAACCAGCUAUUGAACAGAACAGUUGAAGUUACAAUCCUAUACGUAAGUUUUCUUUUUGGUUAAAUAUGAUAGUCUUGAUUUGUUCAAGUGCUGUUUCCUCUUCAUGCUUGCUUUGUUUGCCUCAUUCAACUAUAACAUUAAACCCUAUGCUACUUCGAUUCUUUUUUUUUUUUUAAAUAUUCAUGCCUAAUCUGUACCAAACAAACUUUUAGCCAGAUGAAUAUAUCCAUAUCUUGAAUCGCCACUAAAUCUGGUUACAUUCAUGGUAAAAUAUAUUGUAUUCUGUUAUCCCUACCUUGUAACCCUUGCGAUUCCCUCCCUACUUUGUUUUCGAGUCUGAUUAUUAGGAGGUAAACUAUCUGGCUGAAAUUAUCAGUCAUUUUGAGAAAGGAAUUCCAUCUUUUUCGUUAACUCUGCAUGGUUCUUUACCACAACCAUGAACGUAAAGAUGGAGCUUGUUUGAUAUCAUAACCUCAAGGUAUGGAUGUUUCUUUGCUAUGCAAUCAAGGUAUUUUAUCUUAAUCUGCUGUUGGAACAGAAGCUAUUUCUUUCAUAAUUUAAAAUGUCACUGUUUUUAACCCAAACUUGUUUUGUUUGAUGGAAAUCAUCUAUUAUCAUACGUUAGAAUCACUUAAUAUUGAUCUUUUCAUAUAGCUAUACCAUAGAUGUGCUCCAGGCAAACUUUUAUUGGUUUUUAGGAGGAUCACCUCCUGUACUCUGUUUGAAUAUAUUAGGUGUUGAUGUUAGACAUAAAUGCUUUAAGGAAAAUGAAUAAUUUGGAUAAUGUAAGAUAUGCUUAUGCUUAAUUCAUGUCCUAAUGGCAAAACCUUCAUCUAAAAAUUGCUCAAGGUAUGACAUGUUAGUAUGAAUUCAAGGGGAAGAAAAGGGUAAAAGAUUAUAAAUAGAUUUUCAUGGGUUGAGAUGACUUCAAGUUGAGCCUUAGGAAAAGUAAUAUUCAUGCAUGAUUUGUUUGACCCAAAAUAUUAGAUAGAAUAUUCUGCUUACAUUUGGUGUGAUAUGUAAAAAAGGCACCAUCCUUGUUUGAAAAAGCCCAAAUUUGUACACAAAAGUCGAUCUCAAGGGUGGUUUUUAUUAAACUACCUUUUAUGCUAUCAUUAGUACCCUCAAUUUUAGGGCAUGAUCGAAUCAACUUUGAUGUGUUUGAGCAUCAUGAGCAACAUUAAGUUUUUGUGUCAAAAGAAGCUACUUAAUUUGUUAUUCAAACUACUUAGAAGCUAUCAAUUUAAAAGCGAAUCACUUCUCACUUGAUAGGUUGCUGCUAAGUUAAAGCCAUAUUACUGGUUAGCACAUUCAUCAUCAUUGUUAGUUUUCUUGUUUAGAUCCCAUCUUAAGGAUUAUAAUUUGGACAAGGAUUAGAAUAAGGAUGAGAUGAAUUUCUUAUGGGAUUUGGAUGAGAAGUGGCUUAGAAGCUACCUAUAAACGCAUAAAACCUUUGGAUAAAAGGAAUCCAAGUGAGAGUGUUUGUUUUUAAACAACUCUGUUUCUCUUCACUUCUUUUUGUUCUCAACUCAACGAGUGGUAGCAAAGCUUUAUCUAGGGACCUGAGUUAGGCGAUUGGUUUGUGGAUUUGGGAGCAUCUGAUCAUAUGAUAGGGGAUAAAACCUUAUUUGAAUCUUUAAACUCAUGUUAUGAGAAUUAGACAAUAAGGAAAGCAGAUUGACCUCCAUGAAAAAUAGUUAUAGCAAGUUUCGUUAAAAUUUCAACUAACUUUUCGUUUAAUUCUUUUCCAAAUAUAGAUUGUAAUCUUUUGUUGCUAUUUUUUUUUUAAAGUUUGUGAAUUUUAGGACUUGAACUUGAGGUCAAAUAGCAAUUUUGAAUAGUUGUUGGGUUUAUGUUCUCAAAAUUCUUGACAAUAAAAGAAUAAGGCCAUCCAAAACCCAAUUGUCUAAUGGUUCAAGCCCAAAAUUACGUUGACCUUGUUUCUUAGAUGGCAUUAUUGUUUAGGACAUCGAAAUUUAUCUAUCUUACAUGCACAAAACAUAUGCCUUGAUCAUUCAUGUAAGCAAAUCAUCUGAUCUUUGGUAAUAAUCCAUAGAAAUGUGUGGAGACCAUCUAGGGUAAGACCUAUCACAAACUUUAUUUUGUUUGUUUCCAUUAUAGAUAAUCACACUAGGCUUAUAUAGGUUUUUUGAAUAAAAAAAAAUCUAGAGAAACUCCAACACCAUGAUCCUAUCACAGUUUAAUUUAAGAAACAAAUCCUAAGAACUGAUAAUGCUAGAGAGUAUUUCAGAUCCAACUUAGGGUUUUACCUAACAAGUCAAUGCAUGGUUCACUAAAGUUCAUGUGUAAUCACGCCCCAACAAAUUGACAUUGUUGAAAGAAAAAAAGUAAGCAUGUAUUUGAUAAACAGAAUGCCCUCUAGGAUUUAAUGUACUCGAAUCUUUUCUAAAUAUAAUCCCUUGCGUUAAUUGUUCCUUUGAAGACAUCUAGGUGUAUUGCUUGUAUCCAUACCUAUAAACCACAAACUCUAUUGAGGUAAACUAAAUCUUAAAGUCAUUAAUGCUGUGUUUGGUUACUAGUGUAAUAACAUGAGUAAAUAACUUAUUUAACACAUGUUUUAAAUAGUUAAGCCAUAAAAAAAUGAUUACUACAAAUUUAAACAUACAAUUAGAAAAAUGAGUAAAAAAUUAUUGUAAAGACUUUUUCAAAAUAAGCGAAAAGUUUUCAAUUUAUUUGCUACAAACAAGUCAUGAGUGGUUAAAUAUUACCAAUUGUGGUUAGUUUAUGACUAACCAAUGACUAAAACAUGUAGAAAAAUAAAACUCCUACUAAACGUAACAUAAAUAUAUUUUUAUAAGGUAUUCUCUAAACCAAGGGUGUAAGUGCUAUUUGGCCACUACACACAAAUAAUAUAACAUCACGGAUAUCACAUUCUUUGAGCAAAUACCAUAUAACCUUAAAUUGACUAGUUUUAGUGAAUAUGGAGCAACUAAAUUAUUAUUGAGAGUGAACCAAUACUCGUAUGCUAACUUUGGGAUAACCAAAUGAAUCAUAAUUAAUUAGUAAACAACUCUUAUUUAGAGGGUUGUUACAUAGAAUCCAAACUUGGCAAAACUUAGCAACAAGAUCUAUACAUUUAGCAUCUUACAAAGGUUUUAGGAAAAGGAAGAUAACCUCAAACCUUUGCACCAAAAACAUUAGAACCAAAUAAAGACCUUAUUGUAUAAAUUGUAUCAACACUAAUUUAUCAAAGUCAAGUUAAAUCCAAGUUAAAAUUAUAAUAUACACACACUUAAAAAUUAUAAUUCUCAUAUUGAGUUGGCCGUCAAUGCAUUAUCUUCUGCUACUUGAAAGGGAUAAGAACAUGCUCUCAACACUUAAUCCCCACCUUUGAUUCAUAUGAGGGAUUGUCCUUAAGAUUUGAGCAUUGGUGAUUAUCUUGAUAAGAUUAGAAUCCAAAACAAUGUCUAUGAGGCCUUAAAGAACUAGAAUGGAGGAAAGUUGUGCAUGAAAAAUUUAAGCCUUAGAAAAAAAUGAAACCAGGGAGAUUAUAAAUUUGCCACUAGAGAAGAGUUUAGUAUGAUGUAAAUAGGUGUAUAUUAUAAAAUAUAAAUGUGAAAGUGUGGAUUGAUUCAAAGUUAGAUUCAUUAUAAAAGGAUUCACUUAGUUUUAUGGAAGUGACUAUCAAGAGAAAUUUGCUCUUUUUUCAAAAUACAAUACAAUUAAAUUUCUCUUUUUGUUGGCGGUAGGCCUUGAUUGGUCCUUAAAUUAACUUGAUGUUAAGAAUGCAUUUUUUCGUUGUCUAGUGCAAAAAAUGCACAUGAAGGUUCCACCAGACGUUAAAACAUAGACUCAAAAAAAAGAAAAAAUUAUGCACUUGGAUUUGUUAAAAGAAACAAGAAUGCUUGAAUUUACAUUGAGAAGUACUCAAAUGAAAACAAGUAAAAGUUAGGGUGUAAUGAAAGUACUCUAGUUAACAAUUGUAGAUACUAGAGGCUUGUUGGAAAUGUUGGAAAAUUGAUAUUUUUAACUCACUAGAGGUGAUAUUGCUUUCUUAAUUAAUGGUGUAAGCCAAUUUAUGAAUGAUUUGCAAGAACACAUGAAGCUCUGUAAAUGGGGUAGCUCUUUUUAUAUGUGCUUUGGAAAGCUAAAUGUUUUCUUUUAAUGGCAUUUUUUUUGUUAGCCAUAAUUCCUCACUUGUUAAGGAGUUUUAAUGACUAAAGAUAUUAACAAUGUCACGCUAGCUUGUAGAAAGAUUAUCGCCAACUUGAGAAUUCAAGCUAGGAUUAUUCUCAUUCGACAAACCCUCUCUUGAUGCACAAACAGGGAUCAACUCAUGAAAAAGGAAAUCAACAUUUAAGCAAACAUCUGUUGCUCGGUAGGACUUUUUUUAGCUAGCCAUAAUUCCUCACUUGUAAAGGAAGUUUUAAUGGCUAAAGAUAUUAACAAUGUCAUGCUAGCUUAUAGAAAUAUUAUCGCCAAACUUAACAAUGUCAAGCUAAGAUUAUUCUCAUUCAAUGAACCCUUUUUUUGAUGCACAAACAGGGAUCGACUCAUGCAAAAAGAAGUCAACAAUUAAGCAACAUUUGUUGCUUGGUAGACAUCUUUUUUAGCUAGCCAUAAGUCCUCACUUGUCAAGGAGUUGUAAUGGCUAAAGAUAUUAACAAUGUCACGUUAACUUGCAGAAAGAUUAUCGCCAAUUUGAGAAUUCAAGCUAGGAUUUUUUUUAUUCGACGAACCCUUCUUUUGAUGCACAAAUAGAGAUUGACUCGUGCAAAAGGAAGUCAACAAUUAAGCAACAUUUGUUGCUUGGUAGACAUUUUUAGCUAGCCAUAAUUCCUCACUUGGUGUUUUUAUUUGUUUGAUAACUUGUAUCAAAGGAAUGUUUGAACAACUUUAAUUAGAAUACGUGUAAGCAAUUUUAUCUUAAUUAUCAAAUCUACACAUGAUGGAAUGGAAAUAUGACACCUUGAAAUUUUGCCCUUUUUAUUUUCAUCAUCAAGCAUAGGCUUUAUUAAUUACAUUGAUAUUUACUUUUUAGUUUUAUCAGUUCAAACAUUUACUUACCAUGCCAAAUAAAAGAAACUUACACAAAUAGAUCAAUUUUAACGUAAAUAAUGGGCAUUUCGAAAAAGGAUCAAUUUU
rnacentral:lncRNA from 1 species